rnacentral:rRNA from 1 species
AGCGAACGCUGGCGGCAGGCCUAACACAUGCAAGUCGAACGAAGUCUACGGACUUAGUGGCGGACGGGUGAGUAACACGUGGGAACGUACCUUUUGGUUCGGAACAACUCAGGGAAACUUGAGCUAAUACCGGAUGAGCCCUUAGGGGGAAAGAUUUAUCGCCGAAAGAGCGGCCCGCGUUAGAUUAGCUAGUUGGUGAGGUAAAGGCUCACCAAGGCUACGAUCUAUAGCUGGUCUGAGAGGAUGAUCAGCCACACUGGGGCCGAGACACGGCCCAGACUCCUACGGGAGGCAGCAGAGGGGAAUCUUGCGCAAUGGGCGAAAGCCUGACGCAGCCAUGCCGCGUGAAUGAUGAAGGUCUUAGGAUUGUAAAAUUCUUUUACCAGGGACGAUAAUGACGGUACCUGGAGAAAAAGCCCCGGCUAACUUCGUGCCAGCCGCCGCGGUAAUAC